rnacentral:sRNA from 1 species
AGCAAAGGUACGUAGUCUAAGAUCGCGACAUCCUGUCGCAACGACUGCAUGAUUAGCAUCCUGCUGA